UGGGGAAUAUUGCACAAUGGGCGCAAGCCUGAUGCAGCCAUGCCGCGUGUGUGAAGAAGGCCUUCGGGUUGUAAAGCACUUUCAGCGAGGAGGAAGGUGGUGGACUUAAUACGUUCAUCAAUUGACGUUACUCGCAGAAGAAGCACCGGCUAACUCCGUGCCAGCAGCCGCGGUAAUACGGAGGGUGCAAGCGUUAAUCGGAAUUACUGGGCGUAAAGCGCACGCAGGCGGUUUGUUAAGUCAGAUGUGAAAUCCCCGGGCUCAACCUGGGAACUGCAUUUGAAACUGGCAAGCUAGAGUCUCGUAGAGGGGGGUAGAAUUCCAGUGUAGCGGUGAAAUGCGCAGAGAUCUGGAGGAAUACCGGUGGCGAAGGCGGCCCCCUGGACGAAGACUGACGCUCAGGUGCGAAAGCGUGGGGAGCAAAACAGGAUUAGAUACCCUGGUAGUCCACGCUGUAAAACGAUGUCGAUUUUGGAGGUUGUGCCCUUGAGGCGUGGCUUCCGGAGCUAACGCGUUAAAUCGACCGCCUGGGGAGUACGGCCGCAAGGUUAAAACUCAAAUGAAUUGACGGGGUCAUAGCUGUUUCCU
rnacentral:rRNA from 1 species